UACGUAGGGGGCAAGCGUUGUCCGGAAUUAUUGGGCGUAAAGAGCGUGUAGGCGGUCCGGUAAGUCAGCUGUGAAAGUCAAGGGCUCAACCCUUGAAAGCCGGUUGAUACUGUCGGGCUAGAGUCCGGAAGAGGCGAGUGGAAUUCCCGGUGUAGCGGUGAAAUGCGCAGAUAUCGGGAAGAACACCUAUGGCGAAGGCAGCACUCUGGGACGGUACUGACGCUGAGACGCGAAAGCGUGGGGAGCGAACAGG
rnacentral:rRNA from 1 species